AUGAACGCUGGCGGCGUGCCUAAUACAUGCCAGUCGAGCGCACAGACGAGGAGCUUGCUCCUCUGACGUUAGCGGCGGACGGGUGAGUAACACGUGGAUAACCUACCUAUAAGACUGGGAUAACUUCGGGAAACCGGAGCUAAUACCGGAUAAUAUAUUGAACCGCAUGGUUCAAUAGUGAAAGACGGUUUUGCUGUCACUUAUAGAUGGAUCCGCGCCGCAUUAGCUAGUUGGUAAGGUAACGGCUUACCAAGGCAACGAUGCGUAGCCGACCUGAGAGGGUGAUCGGCCACACUGGAACUGAGACACGGUCCAGACUCCUACGGGAGGCAGCAGUAGGGAAUCUUCCGCAAUGGGCGAAAGCCUGACGGAGCAACGCCGCGUGAGUGAUGAAGGUCUUCGGAUCGUAAAACUCUGUUAUUAGAGAAGAACAAAUGUGUAAGUAACUAUGCACGUCUUGACGGUACCUAAUCAGAAAGCCACGGCUAACUACGUG
rnacentral:rRNA from 1 species